UUGUCACAGUUUUGGGUUAGUCCGAAAGUAGCAUUAUCGGGGUUAGGAACUUGCUUUAAGUAGGGCCACCUACCCAUUAACCUAUCAAUGCAGUUUGGGUUCUAUCGAAAUUGCAAGCUUACACUGUAAUAGAUAAGAAAACGCAACCUGGGCAUACUAGUGAACGCCAUGCCGGUCGUUCUCUUUCCGUUUUAACCUUGGAGGUGAUCAGACGUACAGGUGCGACCAACCAAAAAAAAAAAAAAAAAAAAAAAACACACCCACGUUUUCUUUAUAAUUUUUUUUUGUAUUUCGAUAUUCUUCGUACCCAAGCCCAGAUUAGAAAUCCCACCAACUGUAUUUAAAUUUGGGGUUAUUUCGGUGCCAGAUCAAAGGUUCUGGCACCUUGUGCUACCCACAAGCAACCGCCGGCUCCAAGCCGUACCACCAGAGCAGCACGUCCAGCAGAGUAGCCGAUGCACAUCGAUCAUCAGAACAUCUCUUUUGGCCGAAGCCAUCGGUGUUCAAGUGUUAUUAGUGUGAAUUAAUCUACCCCCCGCAAAAGUUCAGUGAAAAACAAAACCUGUAGCGAAAAACGAAAAAAAAAGGGAAAACAAAAGCCCUCACAUUAAGCGGUUCAAUUUUUUUUUGGUUAUAACACGAGGUGGCUACACGGUGACAAACUAAUGGUUUUACCGCACGCAUUACCAAACAUGUGCUAAUACACUAAUAAAAUAAUUGGACACCAACGAUCGCCAAAACAAAAAAAAUGAAUUCAAUUUAAAACGUUACGAAAACUACGAGUUUACUAUACCCGAGAAAGAAAAAAAAAGGAAAUUAUAUAUAUUUUAAAUAUAGAAUAAAUUAAAUUAUAGAUAGAUUAAAUUAAAUUAAAUAAAUAAAAAAGAGGUAAAAAGUGAAAGUCAGUGGUGGAAAGAUUUGGC